rnacentral:rRNA from 1 species
GAGCCCUGGAGGCAGCAGUAGGGAAUUUUCGUCAAUGGGCGCAAGCCCGAACGAGCAAUGCCGCGUGAACGAGGAAGGUCUUCGGAUCGUAAAGUUCUGUUGAAGGGGAAAAAGAGCGGAGAGAGGAAAUGGUCUCCGAUUGAUAUUACCCUUCGAGGAAGUCACGGCUAACUACGUGCCGGCAGCCGCGGUAAUACGUAGGUGGCGAGCGUUAUCCGGAAUGAUUGGGCGUAAAGGGUGCGUAGGCGGCCUGCUAAGUCUGGAGUGAAAGGUACCGGCUCAACCGGGACAGGCUCUGGAAACUG